ensembl:lncRNA
UGCCCCGGCAUCGCCCUCGCCUCCGCGCUGGACAGCCACCGCGGCCUCCGUCGCAGCAUCAACGAGCGCAUCUCCCUUUACCUGGCCCACGCCCGGGCCGGUCCCGCCGCCCAAGCGGGGCAGCCCCGCAGCCCCGGCUCCGGUGAGGACGGGGGCCCCGAGGAGGACCGGCUGAACCGCAGCUCCCUAGCCCGCUCCAUUAAGAAGAUCACGCUGUCCAACUGGUACGGGGACGCUGGGACGGGAGAGGCAGAGGGACCCGGGGACCCUGCCCGCGCCAGCGGCGAAAGGAACCACAACAAUAACAACAGCAGGACAGGGAAAGCUCAAUUCAAGGUCUUCCUCAGGAAGGACGUGGAUGCAGACGACAAGCAGCAGGAGCCUGGGAGUGUUCAGGCCAGUGUUUUCUGCUCUCCAGUGGGCAGAUGCUCUCCCUUCUAUGCGCUGGCAGGAUCCCCGGUGUCUUCACCCCAGAAAGAGAGCCCUAAGGGCAAGGAGUCUGCUGCAGCACCAAGAUGUAGUGGGCGAAGUGGUGUGGGAGCAACCCCUCUCCUGGACCUGAGUCCUCUGAUAGCCAAGUUCAACCGGGAGAUGCUGCAGGCAGAGACCUGGGUGCGAGGCAAGCUGCGGGACCUGAAGGACGGCUGUGACCUCCAGGAUUGUGAGGAGGUGGCUCAGACCUUGCAGCGGGACAUGAAGGAUUUUGAGAACACACUGAUAAAGCUCAAUCAGAUGGGUGAGCAGCUGAUGUGGAGGGCAAGCCCCAGUGCUGAGGCCAUGCAGAGGCAGCUGCAGGCCCUGCAGGACCUGUGGCAGCUCCUGAAGCAGACGGCUGCCAGCCAGAGCAAAGCCCUCCGGGGGCUGUGGGGUCUGCAGGACUUUAACAGGAAAGCUGAGCGGCUGGAGGCGUGGAUCAAGGACAAGGAGGAGAAGCCGUCUCUGGCAGCCCUCCUGCAGGAAAGCCCGGAUAAGAUCCAGCUCACUCGCCGCAUCCUUGACUUGAAGCAGGAGGAGCAGCAGUUCCAGAGUCUGCACAAGGAGCUGAACAGCCUGGCCCAGAAGCUGGAGAAAGAAGGCAAAAAUGAGAGCAGAAACAUCUCAGCCCGGCGCAAGCACCUCAACAGAGCGUGGCUUCGGCUGCAGGGGACCCUGAAGGAGCACCACGAGUCUCUGCAGCUGGCCCUGGAGGUGGCCUCCUUCCUCCAGCAAGCAGAUAUCCUGCUGGGGAUCAUCCAUGCAAAGCAGAGCAGCAUCUGCAGUACAGGGAAGCCAGGGGAGGGUGAGCCAUGCCAGGAUCGGGAUAUCAGGGACAUAGCCAGCCAGGUGAUGAUGCUGGAUGUGACAGUGUCCCAGCUCCUAAACUUACAGCCCAGCCUGGCAGCCCAAGUCACCUCAAAGCACCGAGACGUAAAGGAGAGCUGGGCACAGCUUCAACAGGCACUGAGAACAGGGAAGGCUCCAGCACGGGCAGGCAGUUCCCCAGGGAGCAAAGCUGCAGCUCCAAAUGUUGAGCCCCAAGGAGAUGAUAGCAGUCGUGGGGCUGUGGGUAAGGAAGCAGCAGCCAAGUGGACAAGAGGACUCGGCAGCAUGGUACCAAAAGAUGUGCUGGAGAAGAUGGCAGAGCACAAGAAAGGAGAGGAGAGCAACCCUGGCUCCCCAGCAGUGGGACAGGCCCCUCAUGGAGGGGACAACAAAAGGAGGAGAGAGGCAGAGGCUGACUGGGGGCUGCAGCAGCUGGAUACCCAAGUGCAGGAUGUCUGCCAGACUCUGUCCCCAUACAAGGAGAGUAUGGGUAUUGGAGUCCCCUCAUGUCCAGUGGCAAGCCUGGAGGCAGCAAGGAUGCAGCAAGAGCCCCUGUCUCCCAGCUCCAGUACCAGGGCUGUGCUCCUGGAGGAACCAGCACGAGGAAGGCCUCCCAGGAGCCCUCGGGUGGAGGCCAUGCUGCGGGAACUGGGAGAGUUAUGGGAGGACCUGCAGAGGAGGCAUCAGGAGAAUGGCAUAGUGCUGCAAGAAAUCGAUAAGGCACUGAGGCUGGUGGGAGAGCUGGACCAAGCUGAGCGGUGGCUGCAAGACGUGGCUGGGUCACUCUUGGAACCAGCCGCCAUGAGAAGCCCGGCAGAGCUGCGCCGGGACCUGGAAGAACUGAGCCAGCUGGAGAAGCAGCUCCUGCUCUGUGGCCUCAAGCUGCAGGCACUGCGGGAAGAAGCAGCAGGCGAGUCGCCCACUGAGCACGAGGGGGCAAGGAAGAUGCAGAGGAAAGUGGAGAUGAUGGAGGAGAAGUUGGCACAUGUGCAGGCGACCCUACGGCACAGGGCAGCAGAUCUGUGUGACUCCCUGGUGCUGUCUGAGUUCCUGCAGGACCUGCAAGAGGAGGAGGCACGGAGCCAGCAGGGAUCUGCAGUGGCAGGCAGUGGGCGUUGUGGCUCGCAGGGGUGUUUUCCCCUGCUCUCAGCCCAGACUGAGAAGUCUCCAAGCAGUGAGGACAUGAGGCGCCCCUUGGGAGAGCUGCAGGAGGCCGUGGAGAUGCUGAAUGACGCAGCGAAGGAGCGGGAGAGGGUCAUGGAGGUGGCAGUGGAGACGGAGAGCCUGGAGCGUCUGGUGGCGAAGAUAUCCCCACAGCUGGAGGCCCUUCAGUGCAGAGCCAAGGCUCUGUCUCAGGACAUUGCCCUAGCAGAGAAGAGCUUCACCACGGUGAAGAGUGAGAAGGACCUGCAAGGGCUGCAGGACUUGCUAAGCUGCCAGCAGGAGAUGGAGCAAGCAGUGUCACAGACCCUGCAAGGGCAGCUGGAGGAGCUGGAGAGGGCAGCUGCCCGCGUGCAAGAGCUGUGCCCCGCUCGGCAGUGCCCCAUCAGCUGGGAGCUGCAGGAGACUCUGUGGGCCUGGGCAGGGCUGCGAGAGCUACUGCGGGAGACCCGGCUCCGCGUGCAGCAGGCCAGCCAGCUCCGGCACUUCUUCAAGGAUUAUUUAGCCAUGAUCUCCUGGACUGAGGACACACGGGCUCAGAUCUUCUCUGAAAGCCCAAGCAGCUCCAGUAUCCCGGAGACUCCAUGUGAGGAACUGGAGAGCAGAAUUGAAGAGAAACUCAAGGAGUUUGAGGCACUAGCAGCAGCAGGGCAGCAGCUGGUGUCUGAGGAGCACUACCUGAGUGCAACAAUAAAGGAGCGCUUGGAAGAGCUGCAGAGCAUGCUGGGCUGGGUGCUGGUGCGGUGGCGAGCACAGAGGCAUCAGCAGCAGGAUCUGGGGAGCAGACAGGACAAGAGGGAGCUGGAGAACCUCUCAAGCACAUCCCCCACUGGUCAAGAGCAGCAUGCCUCACAUGUUCCACCCCACCUGGAAAGCAUCCACAGCCCAGUGAAGUUCAUGCCCUCCUCCCUCCUCGAACCUGUGCAAAGAUUAGAGCCAAAGCUUCCAGAGAAAACAGCCAUCUCCCCACCCACGUCACCCCUCUCAGAUGCCCCAUCAGGAGUGGAGCAGAGCUGGGGGGAGCCCAGCAGCAAAACACCCCAUGAUGCGGAAUCCCAGCAGGCUGCCACCUGGGAUCCUGCUGAGACUUCCACGCUGCUGCUGCCACCACGGGGCCCCUGUGGUCUCAGGGGGACGGUCAGCCUCAUCCUCAGCAUUGGCAAGAAGGGCGAGAAGAAGAAGGCACAGCUGCUGGCCAGCAGCGAGCGGCCAGGGGAGGAGGCACUGCCAACGGUGCAGGUGGAGGCCAGGAAAACCUGCAGCGCAAAGCGGCUGCCCGCUGUUGUCCGCCGCCCUCCAGCAUCCAGCGGCGGGAUGCAGGCUGUGUCCCACACCCUGCCCAAGGCCGGGGCUGGCUGUCUCUUCAACAGCCUGCAGCGGCGGGAGCAGGCCAGGGCGGAGCAGGCCCAGCUGCUGACUCUCCGGGGCAUCAUGGGGGACAGCUCCCUGCGGCCCACGCCUGAGAAAUGCCGUGGCCCCAGCAACACCUGGCCCCACAAGUGUGGUUGGAGGAAGGGGGGGUCAGGGGCAGCUGCUGCUGGACCUCAGCUUGGGGAGCUGCUCCUCUACGUCAGGAACCCGCUGGUGCAGGACAUCGAUGCCGAGUGCGGGGCAGCCCCUCAGAAUCCCUGCCUCCCUAACCCAAAAAUCACAUGCCCCCGUGUUUCCCUGGGCUCUGUGCUCAGCCUGGAGCUGCCACGGGAUGCAGUGGUCCUGGGGUGCCACCGAGGGGCUGCGGCAGGCCAGCAGGAGGCAGAGGGGCAGGAGCAGAGGCAGGAUGAAGGGGUGAGGCCUUGGAGGCCCACAGGCACACAUGGAGUUGGAUGGCAGGAAGAUGGGCACGAUCCCCAGGGGCCCAGCAAGAGGCUGGGGAUGUCGCCCAAGAGCGAGCAAGAAACGUGGUUCAAGGAGGUGAGCUUCGACCCCAGCUACAGCCAACAAAGAGCACACUGUGCUGGGAAGGAGCACUGGAACCUGCAGCACCCCAGCAGCACCAGUAAAGACCUUCUGGACUUGAGGCCGAGCCAGCCAUCCCAUGUCGGUAUGGGGGAUGAGCUGGACACCCGCUUUGGCCAGGACGACAGCCCCACUGCCACUGGCAGGGCCAGGCAUCUCAGAGCCGCUUGGCUAGAGCUUGGAUCGUCCCCUGCCAGCACACCAGGCAGGGCUGGAGCCAUCCCCAGCCCUGCCUGUACACAGCAGCCGGCCAGCAGCAGCCAGCCCAGAGGGUCCCCAGCUUCCCCUGCCGCCCCCAGCCAGCUCUCUGUCUUUGAGUGGGCACUGGGGUCUCCACAUCCCCAGAGCCCUGCACAGGUAACUAAGGAAGUUUGCCACCCUGCCCACAGGCAGUUUGAGGAAGAGGAGGAGGAGCUGCAGGCCAUCUGGGAUGGAGCACACGAACAACAGGCACAGAGCUCACCAGGAGACAGCUGUGCCAGCCACCAGACGGGCAGCAGGGCAGGCAGCUUGCCCAGCCCCAGUGCCACUACUGGCGGGCCCCUCAUCCUGUCAUCAGCCAACAAUGUGCUAGUAGCCAAAUUCACCCUUCCCACCGCUGCCCAGCUGCUCCACAGCCCAUCAGGAGAGAAGAGCCCCGGGGUGGUGCGCAGUGGCAGUCCCAGUGGGCUCAGGAUUUCCCCCUACUCGGAGGAGCUGGUGUCUGCAGCCCCCUUGGAUGCCUCCAGCGCCUGGGAUCGGCAGAGGCAUCGGCAAGAGGAGAGAAAGAGCAGCAAGGUCCUGCCUGCUAAAAUGGAAUUUCAGAUGAUGGAGGGGACGCUGGAAAGGAAGCACGUAUUGCAGACAGGAGGGAGAAAGGCCAGCUGCCGGGCCUGGGGCCUCUUUCACGCUGUGCUGAUGAGGCAGACACUGUGCUUCUACCAGGACCGCAGGGACAGCCUCAAGAGCUCCGUGGUGGCCCUUCCCUUGAACCUCUCCGGGGCAGUCUGCACCCCAGAUGCUGAAUACACCAAGAAGACCAACUGCUUCAGGCUUCAGCUGCAGGAUGGCUCUGAAUACCUCCUGAGGGCCCCCACCCAGGCCCUCAUGAAUGAAUGGGUCUCAAAGCUGCAGCAAAACUCAGGUUUCCCCAAAGUGGAUUACUUCCAGGCAGCAGCACAGCAUGUCAAGAGCACUGGUGGUACUGGCAGUUUCAGCAAGGUCUCCAGCCCUGGGACCUCCCACCUCCAGGGACAUCAUCAGGUCACGACCACCAAGAGCCAGGAGAUUGUGGUGUUACCCUGCGCAAGCCCACUAUUGCAGCAGCCUCUGGGCAGCCAGGAUGGCCCAGUCGAUGGGACUGUGACAGCAGCAGAGAAUACUCAGGGGACUGGGCACAAGGAGCAGCAGUGGUCAUCCAGGGCAUCCCCCGGGCUGUGGGACAACAUCUGCCUAGAGGAUGACUAUGGGCUGGUGGCCAACAAAAGGAGGUCCUACUCCUUCACCUCAGCCACCUACCAGAAGAUCACCCCGCUGGCGGUGCCCAAGGAGCCGGUGGAGGCCGGGAGCAGUUACUCCGUCACAUUGUACAUAGGGGAGCAGGUGUCGGCCAUGCCCCGGGCACGCUGUCACUCCUUCGUGGCCCAAACAGGGAGCCCCCGGGACACACGAGGGGAGAAGACCACUAGCCCCCCUCGCACCAAGAACAAAUCUGUCUUCAAGAAGUUCUUUGGGAAAAAAGAGUGAGCCCCAGACAAAUGGAGAAAAUGCCCCAAUCUGCCUCUUGGGCCAUUCUGGCUUGAUCUCUACUCCCAGCACCAGUUCAUGGCUUACUGCCUCCCCAGGGGCAAGAGGCUGUAUCAAGUGGCUCUGUAUCAGCCAGCCCCAGGUCUGCCCUGUGCCCCAGGCACUGCAGCCCCCAGCCUCAGCCUGGUGCUGAGCACCCCUCCUGCCCAGUGCUCUCCCUGGGUGCUGCUGGCUCCCCAGGCAUCCUAAUGACACACAGCACAAGCAGAGGGCAUGGAUGAUGGUUUUUAUUAAAAGAUAAAUAGACA